GCCAUAGCUCAGUGGUAGAGCAUCCACUUUGCAUGCAGGUGGCUCCAGGUUCAAACCCUCAGGUAGGACUG